GGGUCAGUAGGUUGGUCGUGCCACCGGUACGUACUGGUCUCACUGAUUCCUCCUUCCUGAAGAACCGUAAUGCCAUUAAUUUGGUGUUGCGGGGAAACAGGACUGUUACUUUGAAAAAAUUAGAGUGUUUAAAGCAAGCUAACGCUUGAAUACAUUGGCAUGGAAUAAUGAAAUAGGACGAUCGAUCCUAUUUUGUUGGUUUCUGAGAUUGACGUA
rnacentral:rRNA from 1 species